rnacentral:rRNA from 1 species
AUUGAACGCUGGCGGCAUGCCUUACACAUGCAAGUCGAACGGUAACGCGGGGCAACCUGGCGACGAGUGGCGAACGGGUGAGUAAUGCAUCGGAACGUGCCCAGUAGUGGGGGAUAGCCCGGCGAAAGCCGGAUUAAUACCGCAUACGACCUACGGGUGAAAGCGGGGGACCGUAAGGCCUCGCGCUAUUGGAGCGGCCGAUGUCAGAUUAGGUUGUUGGUGGGGUAAAGGCCUACCAAGCCGACGAUCUGUAGCUGGUCUGAGAGGACGACCAGCCACACUGGGACUGAGACACGGCCCAGACUCCUACGGGAGGCAGCAGUGGGGAAUUUUGGACAAUGGGGGCAACCCUGAUCCAGCCAUGCCGCGUGCGGGAAGAAGGCCUUCGGGUUGUAAACCGCUUUUGUCAGGGAAGAAACGCUCCGAGCUAAUACCUUGGGGUAAUGACGGUACCUGAAGAAUAAGCACCGGCUAACUACGUGCCAGCCGCCGCCGUAACAC